rnacentral:ncRNA from 1 species
CAAAGGCUUGGUCCUGACUUUACUGUCAGCUCUAGCUAGACUUACACAUGCAAGUAUCCGCACCCCUGUGAGAAUGCCCUCCAGUCUCCCGCCCGGAGACAAGGAGCCGGUAUCAGGCACGGUUAACACCAGCCCAUGACACCUUGCUUAGCCACACCCUCAAGGGACACCAGCAGUGAUAAAUAUUAAGCUAUAAGUGAAAACUUGACUUAGUUAAAGCUUAGAGGGCCGGUAAAACUCGUGCCAGCCACCGCGGUUAUACGAGAGGCCCAAGUUGACAGACUACGGCGUAAAGAGUGGUUAGGGAAACUUUUAAACUAAAGCCGAACGUCCUCAAAGCUGUUUAACGCUUCCGAGUUAAGAAGACCCACUACGAAAGUAGCUUUACCCAACCUGACCCCACGAAAGCUGUGAAACAAACUGGGAUUAGAUACCCCACUAUGCUCAGCCCUAAAAUUUGAUAGGCCAACUACGCCCCCUAUCCGCCCGGGUACUACGAGCAUCAGCUUAAAACCCAAAGGACUUGGCGGUGCUUCACAUCCGUCUAGAGGAGCCUGUUCUAGAACCGAUAACCCCCGUUAAACCUCACCCUCCCUUGUUAAUACCGCCUAUAUACCGCCGUCGUCAGCCUACCCUGUGAAGGACUAGAAGUGAGCAAGAUUGGUAAGACCCAAAACGUCAGGUCGAGGUGUAGUGUAUGAGAGGGGAAGAAAUGGGCUACAUUUCCUAAACCAGGAAAUACGAAUAAUGAACUGAAAUAAACAUUAGAAGGUGGAUUUAGCAGUAAGCAGUAAAACAGAGUGUUCUGCUGAAAUUUGGCAAUAAAGCACGCACACACCGCCCGU